UUCAUUCGAAGACAUUUUCUCCUCAUGCUUUGAACCUGGUGUCAUUACAAAAUAUCUAACUCUUACCCCUGCUUUACUAUAUACACAAGUCCAAAAAGGAGAUAAUAUGAGAUUCUAAAUUUCAAUCACUUCCAUGUUUUUCCUUGGAAACCAAUUGAAACAUGAGUAUUUCAUCUUUUUUCUUAGUUCACAAUUUAUUUAUUUUUUGGAGGGGGGGGGGGGUCAUAAAUUGUUUUAUUUUUUUGGCUUGUAGGGCUAUGGCAUGGUUGAAUAAACUGCUGUAGGCACCUGUGGUUCUAAUACUGCAAAGAUCUGUGUAAUUAUUCCCCCAGGGGGCUUCAGGCUCCAAACAUGCAAACUAAAGUGGUACAUUUGGGUUUCUGAUUCCUUGUUGCUUGCCUUCUAGAGCUGAGACUGGACAUAAGAGAAGCUGAGGGAGGAAGCAGAAUUGGUAUUAAUCCAUCAAUGCCAGACAAUUUUGCAAAUUUCAAUGGAAAGCAGAAUAUAGUGCAAAUUGGGAACAUGUGCUAUGAAGACAAUUCAUUUGAGAGAGAAACUAAAGACUCAUGUUAUAAGGAAGUAUAUCAAUCCAGAAUAGAAUGAAGAUUUUACACUUUCCAUUUUAGAUCCUGAUCUUCCAAUCAAGCUGCUCCUCAGGAAAUUGACGAGUAUGAACUUGUUGAUCGUGUUGAUAUAUUGACUCCUUUAGAGAAGACAGGAUUUUGGGAUGGAGUGAAAGCUGCCAAGUGGUCAGAGCGAAAGGAGGCUAUUGCUGAGCUAACUAAGCUAGCAUCCACAAAAAGGAUAGCUCCUUGUGAUUUUACAGAAAUUUAUCGAACACUUAAGAAGGUCACUCCCCGCCCCCCACUUAAAAUUCAGUCACAUUUUCUAUAAUUUACUAUGUCCGUUUGGAUCAUUGUGUUUGGACACAACUGACUUAUUUAUUUCUUUGUGAUAUUCAUUUUGCUCUAUUUCAUUUGCUGAUUUUUUAGUUGAUAGGGUAUUAAGAUGCUGUCUGUUAC